rnacentral:snRNA from 1 species
GGAUGUGAGGGUGAUCUGGCUGUGACAUCUGUCACCUCAUUGAUUGCCAAGGUUGAUUCAGCUGAUCUGGCUGGCUAAGCAGGUGUUUCCUUCUUUGCUCACCGCUCCACGUGCGUCCCUCCUGAAGCUGUGUGCUCGGUGGAAGAGGAUGACCAUCCCAGAUAGAAGGAGUGUAUGGUAAAAGAUGAAGGGUUUCUUCCUUGCAGCAUACUGAACAUGUGCAAGGGAUCAAAUAAGUAGUGAGUUUUU